GACGUAGGGGGCCAGCGUUGUUCGGAUUCAUUGGGCGUAAAGGGUGCGUAGGUGGCGAGGUUAGUCAGGUGUGAAAUCUCGGGGCUCAACCCCGAAACUGCACUUGAUACUGCCUUGCUAGAGUACUGGAGAGGAGAUUGGAAUUUACGGUGUAGCAGUGAAAUGCGUAGAUAUCGUAAGGAAGACCAGUGGCGAAGGCGAAUCUCUGGACAGUCACUGACACUGAGGCACGAAGGCCAGGGGAGCAAACGGG
rnacentral:rRNA from 1 species